rnacentral:rRNA from 1 species
AAUGGGGGCAACCCUGAUCCAGCCAUGCCGCGUGUGUGAAGAAGGCCUUUUGGUUGUAAAGCGCUUUAAGCAGGGAGGAGAGGCUAAUGGUUAAUACCCAUUAGAUUAGACGUUACCUGCAGAAUAAGCACCGGCUAACUCUGUGCCAGCAGCCGCGGUAAUACAGAGGGNGCGAGCGUUAAUCGGAAUUACUGGGCGUAAAGCGAGUGUAGGUGGCUCAUUAAGUCACAUGUGAAAUCCCCGGGCUUAACCUGGGAACUGCAUGUGAUACUGGUGGUGCUAGAAUAUGUGAGAGGGAAGUAGAAUUCCAGGUGUAGCGGUGAAAUGCGUAGAGAUCUGGAGGAAUACCGAUGGCGAAGGCAGCUUCCUGGCAUAAUAUUGACACUGAGAUUCGAAAGCGUGGGUAGCAAA